GUCAGCACCCCGUACUGAAGUGACGGGGCUUCAUGCCUCACAUGACGUAAUAGUUGACCAGCCUAAGUCUUAACUGACUACGUUUUUUGAGUCAAGACACCCUGUUGGAUGCGUAGCUAGUCCCUGGCUCUGUCGUUAGU
rfam:Planktothrix serta PCC 8927 isolate BBR_PRJEB10992 genome assembly, scaffold: BBR_A_PL8927_scaffold24